rnacentral:rRNA from 1 species
GCCAGACUCCUACGGGAGGCAGCAGUGGGGGAUAUUGCACAAUGGGGGGAACCCUGAUGCAGCGACGCCGCGUGGGCGAGGGAGCGCCUCGGCGCGUAAAGCCCUUUCGGCGGGGGAGAACGAUGACGGUACCCGACGAAGAAGCACCGGCUAAAUACGUGCCAGCAGCCGCGGUAAUACGUAUGGUGCGAGCGUUGUCCGGAUUUACUGGGCGUGAAGGGGGCGCAGGCGGCGCGCCAAGCCCGAUGUGAAAGCCCGGGGCUCAACCCCGGGACUGCAUUGGGAACUGGCGUGCUGGAGUGCCGGAGGGGCAGGCGGAAUUCCUGGUGUAGCGGUGAAAUGCGUAGAUAUCAGGAGGAACACCGGUGGCGAAGGCGGCCUGCUGGACGGAUACUGACGCUGAGGCCCGAAAGCGUGGGGAGCGAACAGGAUUAGAUACCCGUGUA